rnacentral:lncRNA from 1 species
GUUUGCCAUCAAUCCUCUGCUGAUAAAAAGUUGUGUGUGUAGUAUGUAGCAUAAAAUCAGCAUUCGUCCCCCAGGCAGAAAGGACUCGCCUAGGGAGCCAGCGCGGUCCCAAAGGAGCCGCCGGCCCUGCCUCCCGGGAUCCGACCCCCGGUGCAGCCAGCCUGAAGUCGCCCGAGGGCAGGGCCGACCUCACCGAGCCGGGAAUGGCGUCUCAGGGGCAAGUGAGAACUGGCCUGAGAAGGGGACGGUAGGGGCAGAAGACGCCAGGCUGCCUCUUGGACCAGCAGCGCCGGCCCAGAGCCACACGACUCUCUGUGGCACUGGCGACAAAGCGGGGAAAGUUUCUGGCUAAGACUUUCACGGAGAGGCAGUUCGCUGGCGUUUAGUGUGGGGGCUCCCCGGGGAAGCCGGUCUUUGGAAAGUGGAGGGUGGAGGUGUGGCGUUCUCGGGGUCCCCGCCGAGUCGUGCCACCACCCCGUCCCGCUCCCCGAGCACUGCCAGCAGCCCCAGGCGAGCCGGGGCUCUCCGUGGGGCAGGGCACGCUUCUGCCCCCACUCCACUCCACAGUGAGAGCCCACGUCCGUGGGUGCAACGAGCUGCAGGAGCACCGGACACACGGCCAAGAUGUGUUUUUGGGAGGGCAGAGCGGUUUUCAUUGCGGCAUUCUUCAUGUGCCAUUCUCUGCUUGGAUGCACACAGAAUAUUCUUGCUCACAGAAUAACUCAGUUGAAGCCCUGAGCAUGUAAAAGGAGGGCAAAAAAACUUUGAAAGGCCUUACAAAAGCCCAUCAAGCUCUACAGUAAUGCUGUCCAAGGCAGUCACAACAGGCCACAUGUGGCUAUAGAGCACAUGAGAUGGGGCCAGUUGGAAUUGAGAUGCAAAAUACACACCGGACUUUGAAAACUUAGUUUGAAAUAAUGUAAAAUAAGUAAGAAUGUAAAAUAUCUCAUUAAUAAUUUUCAUAGUAAUUAUACAUGGAAAUUAUAAUAUUUUUGGUACAUUGGAUAAAUAAAAUAUAUUAUUAAAAUCAAUUUUACUUGUUUCUUUUUACUUUUUUACUGUGGCUACUAGAAAAUUAAAAGUUACAUAUCUGGUUCAUGUUUGUGGCUUGAAUUAUAUUUCCAUUGGACAGAGCUGGUCUAUAGUAACUGAUCCCUCCCUAAAACCGCUCCUGAUCUUAUCUCCUGCUCACUUCUGUUGC